CACCCAAAGAAGCCAAACGCUGGUCACGACAUUCUUCAGAUUGAACGGAUUGUGAGGACUUCGUCUUCUGUUCUACUUCAUGAAGGACCAAGGUCCAAAAGAUACUCAUCAAGCUCAGAAAUUAGAAGUCUCCAGGAGAAACCCUUGGAUUUAGGUGUGAAACUGAAUAAUCACAAGGUCAGGACAUACUGGGUCUUGCGCCCAAAUGUUACAAUCCUCGUGCCAACAAAGCAAUAAAGGAAAACAAAAA